UACGGGAGGCWGCAGGVGGGAAUAUUGGGCAAUGGACGCAAGUCUGACCCAGCGACGCCGCGUGCGKGAUGAAGGCCUUCGGSUGUAAACCGCUUUCAGCAGGGAAGAAGCKMAAGUGACGGUACCUGCAAAAGAAGCACCGGCUAACUAUGUGCCAGCAGCCGCGGUAAUACAUAGGGUGCAAGCGUUGUCCGGAAUUAUUGGGCGUAAAGAGUUCGUAGGUGGUUCGUUACGUCGGAUGUGAAAAUCUGGGGCUCAACCCCAGACCUGCAUUCGAUACGGGCGAGCUAGAGUUYGGUAGGGGAGACUGGAAUUCCUGGUGUAGCGGUGGAAUGCGCAGAUAUCAGGAGGAACACCAAUGGCGAAGGCAGSUCUCUGGCCAWUACUGACACUGAGGAACGAAAGCGUGGGGAGCGAACAGGAUUAGCACUGC
rnacentral:rRNA from 1 species